rnacentral:rRNA from 1 species
CAGCAGCCGCGGUAAUACAAAGGAUGCAAGCGUUAUCCGAAAUGAUUGGGCGUAAAGCGUCUGUAGGUGGCUUUUCAAGUCCGCUGUCAAAUCCCCGGGCUCAACCCUGGACAGGCAGUGGAAACUACCAAGAUGGAGUACGGUAGGGGCAGAGGGAAUUUCCGGUGGAGCGGUGAAAUGCGUUGAGAUCGGAAAGAACACCAACGGCGAAAGCACUUUGCUGGGCCGACACUGACACUGAGAGACGAAAGCUAGGGGAGCAAAUGGGAUUAGAUACCCCCGUAGUCCCUGUCUCUUAUAU